rnacentral:rRNA from 1 species
AUUGAACGCUGGCGGCGGGCCUAACACAUGCAAGUCGAACGAGCGGCGGACGGGUGAGUAAUGUCUGGGAAACUGCCUGAUGGAGGGGGAUAACUACUGGAACCGGUAGCUAAUCCCGCAUACCAUCAUAUGUUCCCUGAUGGGAUUAGCUAGUAGGUGGGGUAAUGGCUCACCUAGGCGACGAUCCCUAGCUGGUCGGAGAGGAUGACCAGCCAAACUGGAACUGAGACACGGGCCAGACUCCUACGGGAGGCAGCAGUGGGGAAUAUUGCACAAUGGGCGCAAGCCUGAUGCAGCCAUGCCGCGUGUAUGAAGAAGGCCUUCGGGUUGUAAAGUACUUUCAGCGGGGAGGCGUUACCCGCAGAAGAAGCAACGGCUAACUCCGUGCCAGCAGCCGCGGUAAUAC